GAUGAAGAACGCAGCGAAAUGCGAUAAGUAAUGUGAAUUGCAGAAUUCAGUGAAUCAUCGAGUCUUUGAACGCACAUUGCGCCCCCUGGUAUUCCGGGGGGCAUGCCUGUCCGAGCGUCAUUUCAACCUUCAAGCUCUGCUUGGUAUUGGGCCUGCGCUGGUCUCCCAGCGGGCCUCAAAAUCAGUGGCGGUGCCAUCUGGCUUCAAGCGUAGUAACACAUCUCGCUUCUGGAGACCCAGGUGUUUGCCUGCCAGCAACCCCAUCUUCUCAGGUUGACCUCGGAUCAGGUAGGGCUACCCGCUGAACUUAAGCAUAUCAAUAAGCGGAGGA
rnacentral:misc_RNA from 1 species